rnacentral:rRNA from 1 species
AACGAACGCUGGCGGCAUGCUUAACACGUGCAAGUCGAACGGCAGCACAGUGUGUAGCAAUACACAUGGGUGGCGAGUGGCGGGCGGGUGAGUAACACGUAGGAAUCUACCCUAAAGCGGGGGACAACCCGAGGAAACUCGGGCUAAUACCGCAUAAUCUCUGAGGAGAAAAGCUGGGGCAACCUGGCACUUUAGGAGGAGCCUGCGUCUGAUUAGCUAGUUGGUAGGGUAAGAGCCCACCAAGGCGACGAUCAGUAGCUGGUCUGAGAGGAUGAUCAGCCACACUGGAACUGGGAAACGGCCCAGACUCCUACGGGAGGCAGCAGUGGGGAAUAUUGGACAAUGGGGGCAACCCUGAUCCAGCAAUGCCGCGUGUGUGAAGAAGGCCUUCGGGUUGUAAAGCACUUUAGUUGGGGAAGAAGGUUUGCAGUUUAAGAGGUAGCAAAUUUGACGGUACCCAAAGAAUAAGCACCGGCUAACUCUGUGCCAGCCGCCGCAGUAA